rnacentral:rRNA from 1 species
UACGUAGGUGGCAAGCGUUAUCCGGAAUUAUUGGGCGUAAAGAGCGCGCAGGUGGUUGAUUAAGUCUGAUGUGAAAGCCCACGGCUUAACCGUGGAGGGUCAUUGGAAACUGGUCGACUUGAGUGCAGAAGAGGGAAGUGGAAUUCCCAGUGUAGCGGUGAAAUGCGUAGAUAUUGGGAAGAACACCGGUGGCGAAGGCGACUUGCUGGGCAGCAACUGACGCUGAGGCGCGAAAGCCAGGGGAGCAAACGGGGAUUAGAUACCCCUGUA